GUGAUCCCCGGAGCAAUUACACUGAGUGGAGUAACAGAGGGUCCUGUGGCACCUUUAAGACUAACAGAAGUAUUGGGAGCAUAAGCUUUCGUGGCUACAGGGACCCCAAGAUUCGCAGUGAAAAAGAACCAAACGCUUACAAGUGUGGAGGAAUCAAAGGGUGAGGAAAUCUGCUUGUGAAGACAUUUUGACACUAUCCACUCAACUGGACCAUGUGGAGAGCAGACGGACUCCCUGAACACACUCAUGGUGAGAUCCCCAUGAACAGUGAAUUCAUGCCCAGCACACCUCCUCGGACUGCUUUUUUCUGACUCACCCUGAGGUUGUCAAGGGAAAACUAGUAAUUGUGAGGAAGAGCUGAGCAUUGCCGACUAAACCAGACAGUCUCAAUGAGAAAGACCAGCUCCAUCAUAGCAAGAGUUAUCGUCCUCAGCACCUGCGCAGAUAUGAGGGUGUAUAAGAGGCUGCAUCAUAUCGGUCCCCGGAGUGAUCAAAGUGGGGAAGAGGAGCAAAUUCUGUAGCUUGCCAUAGAAACCAAAAUAAUUUGUAUAAUUCUGACCUUUCAAGGCAUGCCUACACUUGGGGAAUGAGACGGUGUCAACAGUGGGUCCCUCCUGGCCAUCCCACAACUGGGGUGGAAAUGGUUUAACUUCUUGCAUAGACAGACCCAAAACAUUUUCAACACCUGUUACAGAAAGUGUAAUACACAUCUUGGGUCAAAGCCACCACUGGGGCCUUGUUCCACUGCCAUUCCACUUUUCACUGCUCCGGGGCUUCAAGGUAGGUGCAAAUGUAAUUUGUGUUCACCCUAAGGCCUCAUAGUAUGAAGUGGCCCGAGUGUAACUGGGAAUUAGUGUUACUCCACUAAAGGUCAGUGCCUAAUAAAAAAGUCACCCCUGUCUCUCUCCCACAAAGUUCUGGCCAUUAUGCUCUGGAAGACCAUUCCUUUAUGACUCCAGAUUGGUCGACUACCUUAACCCUACCCCAUGAGCAAGGCCAACACCUAAAACAGCUAGUCAGAGUAAAAGAGCUGCCGCAUGCGCUGGAUAGAGAAAGCCAAAGAGCAGGAGAGGGAGUUCAAAUCAUUUCACCAGCCUUGUUUAAUCAGUAAAGGGGCAGGCCAUCAAUGGGACAUGCUUUGCCAGUCUGUACCGAAGCCCUUGUAAUUCCAGCAGCAGGGAAGAAGCCCUUUGAAAGGAAGACAUUGAGAAUGCCUCAUUGUACAUCAGUGAUUCCCAGCAUCUAUCAGCAUUGAUUUUCACCCCCAGCCUAUAAAGCAGAUCUAUGAACUCACAGGGAGGCAGUAAAUCACCUGCGAAAUAGCCGCUUUGUUGAUAUAUUUUAUAGCUUGUUAAUUUACACUCUCUAAGGCUUUUCUCUGUGCUUCAACGGCUUGGCCAGCACGUUCUCCAGGAGUUUACUAGAAACGGACACCUAUCAUUCCAGGAAGAGACUGCACACUUGCUGUUGGUUCAUUCCUAUUGAUCACUGGGAGAACUGUUUUGUAAAUUACAUUGGAUGCAAAAUUGUAAUUAAUUAUCUUCAGCUGGCAGCAUCUCUCUAAGGCAAAGGCCUAUCGAGCCGUGAUGGGCAAACGGCCAACCAUUUGGUGGUUUGCUGCAGUGCUGAUAAGCAACCAGCAGUUCUGAGGCUUAUCCGAGGCCAUUCCCAUGUGUCAUGAACAUACAGCUAAGGGUAGCAUAAAAUCCCUCCUUUACAUGUAAAGGGUUAAGAAGCUCAGAUAACCUGGUUGGCACCUGACCAAAAGGACCAAUAAAGGGAGAAGAUACUUUCAAAUCUGUGGAGGAAGGUUUUUGUUUUGUGUUCCUUUGUUCUCUCUGGGUCAGCAAGGAAUCAGGGCAGGGAAAAUACAUCUCCUAAAGCCAUACCUGAACUAAGCCUCUAAGAUUAAAAAUUGUAAGUAAUAGGAAGGAAAUGCGUUAGAUUAUUUUUUGUUUUAGCUUGUGA